UACGUAGGGUGCAAGCGUUAAUCGGAAUUACUGGGCGUAAAGCGUGCGCAGGCGGUUUUGUAAGUCUGUCGUGAAAGCCCCGGGCUUAACCUGGGAAUUGCGAUGGAGACUGCAAGGCUUGAAUCUGGCAGAGGGGGGUAGAAUUCCACGUGUAGCAGUGAAAUGCGUAGAGAUGUGGAGGAAUACCGAUGGCGAAGGCAGCCCCCUGGGAUAACACUGACGCUCAUGCACGAAAGCGUGGGGAGCAAACAGG
rnacentral:rRNA from 1 species